rnacentral:rRNA from 1 species
UACGUAGGGACCAAGCGUUAUCCGGAAUUACUGGGCGUAAAGGGUGCGCAGGCGGGCAUGCAAGUCUGACGUGAAAGCCCCGAGCUUAACUCGGGAAGUGCGCCGGAUACUGCAUGUCUUGAGGACCAGAGAGGCAGAGAGAAUUCCUGGUGUAGCGGUGAAAUGCGUAGAUAUCAGGAGGAAUACCUGUGGCGAAAGCGCUCUGCUGGAUGGUUCCUGACGCUGAGGCACGAAAGCGUGGGUAGCAAACGGG